rnacentral:lncRNA from 1 species
CGUGGGCGACUAAAUGGUUGGUCCGGCGAUGGGUGGCGGAUAUGGAGAGGCGGCGGAAGGAGGAGGAGACCGCGAGGAGCUGCGGCGGCGGAGGCGAGCGGUGAUUGAAUAGAGCGUGGGGGAGUAGUGUGCCGGUAGCGGCGGCGGUGGCGGCGGCCAUCGAAAGGUCAGGCGGGGCCAAGGUGUCAGUGCCGUCGCAUGGGCCGGAGGAAGAAGAGGGAGGGAGGUGCCGGACGGGGGCGGGGGAGGAUUUGG